rnacentral:rRNA from 1 species
AUGAAGCCCAGCUUGCUGGGUGGAUUAGUGGCGAACGGGUGAGUAACACGUGAGUAACCUGCCCUUAACUCUGGGAUAAGCCUGGGAAACUGGGUCUAAUACCGGAUAGGAGCGUCCACCGCAUGGUGGGUGUUGGAAAGAUUUAUCGGUUUUGGAUGGACUCGCGGCCUAUCAGCUUGUUGGUGAGGUAAUGGCUCACCAAGGCGACGACGGGUAGCCGGCCUGAGAGGGUGACCGGCCACACUGGGACUGAGACACGGCCCAGACUCCUACGGGAGGCAGCAGUGGGGAAUAUUGCACAAUGGGCGCAAGCCUGAUGCAGCGACGCCGCGUGAGGGAUGACGGCCUUCGGGUUGUAAACCUCUUUCAGUAGGGAAGAAGCGAAAGUGACGGUACCUGCAGAAGAAGCACCGGCUAACUACGUGCCAGCAGCCGCGGUAAUACGUAGGGUGCGAGCGUUAUCCGGAAUUAUUGGGCGUAAAGAGCUCGUAGGCGGUUUGUCGCGUCUGUCGUGAAAGUCCGGGGCUUAACCCCGGAUCUGCGGUGGGUACGGGCAGACUAGAGUGCAGUAGGGGAGACUGGAAUUCCUGGUGUAGCGGUGAAAAUGCGUAGA